rnacentral:lncRNA from 1 species
ACAGAAUGAGUGGCUGGCAGAUUGGUUAUGAAAGCAUGGCCCCCGACGGAGAGGGUCGAGAUCCCAGGACACCUAGACUCAGCAGAGUCUCUACAGGCACCCCGCCUCUCUCCAGCGCCCCAGCUGGAGAAGGGGCCGGCACCCCCACCCCCCACCCCCGCCCACCCGCGAUGCCUAAAGAGGAAGCUGCGUGGCCCCUUGCUUGCUGUGGCUGCUUCUCCCAGGUACAGGAGGCACGUGCGCUUCUGCGUUUUCCCGACAGGCGGCGCUAUUCUAAUGCAUUUACUUACUGUAUGUGUCGGAGUGUUCUGCCUGCAUAAAUGUCACAUAUACAUGUGUGGCUGGAGCCCAUGGAGGUCAGAAGAGAGAAGGAUAACCCAGGCUGCUCUCUACGUCGCAAGAGCUUGAGGACCAGCCCAGCUGCAAAGCAUCUGUCAUGUCAUGUUCUGUGAACUCAGAUGCCAUCCUGAGAGUCACCAUUCAUCCCAGCUCCAGCAUCAUUUAAUGAACUUUUACAAAUGUUUCCAUUGGGUACCCCAAGUUCCCCUGAGGAUGCAGAGUGCUUCAUCACCUGUGGGGAGCACUCUCAGACCCCUUGGCAGUAAGUCACUUCUCCUACUCUACCCACCAGAGACAAACACUUGUGUCUUCACUUCCUGCUGAAAAUGAAUUAAUAGCCCUUCAACUUUUGGCUCUGGCUUCUCCUACUUAGCAAAGCAUCACUGGGAUUUGUCCACACUAUGUCAGUAUCAUCUUUUUUAAAUUGCUGAGUAGUAUUCAAGCUAGACAAGCCUUAGUCAACUUAUCCUGCCCCCUCCUGUUGAUGGCAUUAUGAUCUUUGUUGCUGACAUUGUUUAUCCCUUGGCUUGUAAUAUCCUCCUUGUCAUUGACCUGUGGACCCCACACAAAAUCACACCCAUAAGCCUUCCAAGACGCAGUGCGAAGGCUGGGGCUUUGAAAAACACUUUGUAAUCCACUGCCACACCUCAGCUCAGGGGACUGCUCCCUCCUCCCUACUUGUUCAUACUUUGACCUUUGUCCUUGACUGUUUUAUGAUCCUCACUUGUUUAUAGAUUUGACUCCUAUUACUGCAGCCCACACCGCAGAGGGCAGGCACCAGGGGGUUUCACUCUGCCUUAUACCUGGAGCUGCCUGGAGCAGGAGGGGCACAGGCUUGGCAAGCUGAAACCAAUCCUACCUUUUCCACCAUUAACAUAAUGAUCCUCAUGGGUUGUGAAUAAAAUGUCCCCACAAAGCUCUUGGCAUGGAGCAAGUUUCUGAAACAGGGGGAUAAAACUUACUUGUGGAAGACACAGAGGAGCCUGUGAUAAAGUUAGUCACAUGCCAUGAAGCCUGGGUUUCUUUUCAUUCUUAUAGUACAGAAAGAUUUGCUUUGUUUCAAAAACAGACAUGACCUGGAGAGCCAGAUAAGCAGGGAGUUCCACUUCCCAUUUACCUUACUUUGCUUUUUAUUGCUGUGAUAAACACCAGGGCCCAAAGCAAGUAGGGCCUGAGAGGGUUUGCUUUGCCCUAUGCUUUACAGCCAUCAUCAGAAGACAAGACAGGAACUCAAGUGGGGCAGGAACCUGGGGAGUUGAAGAAGAGGCCAUGGAGGAAUUCUGCUUACUCGCUUGCUUUCUGUGGUACAUUCAACUUGACCUUUUAUACAACCCAUGAUCACCUGCCCAGGAGUGGGUCCACCCCUAUCAAUUAUUGAUUAGAAAAUUCCCCACAAGCUCUCCUAAGGGCCAGUGAAAAGACUAGUCAACUGAGGGUCUCUCUUCCCAGAUGACUGUAGUGUGUGUCAAGCUGACACAAUGUUCCAGGCUAACUGGCACAACUGCUCUCUUGACAGAUUGACACAGGGACACAUCAUUGUUAAACUGCAACUUUUACUUUCUUGGAUAUUACCAGUAUUUCAUGGUAACACCUCGGUAUAAAACAUAUCAUAAUCUUAAAAGUCCCAUAGUCUUUUACAUUUUAAAAGUCCAUGUUCCUGCCUGGCAAGAUGACUCAGGGGUUAAGAGCACUGACUGCUCUUCCAGAGGUUCUGAGUUCGAUUCCCAGCAACCACAUAGUGGUUUACAACCAUCUGUAAUGGGAUCCAAUGCCCUCUUCUGGUGUGUCUGAAGACAGCAACGGUAUACUCACAUAUGUAAAAUAAAUAAAUAAAUCUUUAAAUUCCUGCUCCCCUGCAAAUAAAAGUCCAUGUUCUCUCUUUUAAAA